CCUGCCCACUGAAAUUUUUAAUGGCCGCAGUAAUUUGACUGUGCAAAGGUAGCAUAAUCAUUAGUUUUUUAAUUAAAAGCUUGUAUGAAUGGUUGGACGAGGUAAAAUCUGUCUUUAUUUAAAUAAUAUUAGAAUUUAAUUUUUAAGUUAAAAAGCUUAAAUUUAUAUAAAAGACGAGAAGACCCUAUAGAUCUUUAUAUUUUAAAAUAUAAUUUUAAUAAAGAAUAUUUAAUUUUUUAUAUUUUAUAUUAUUUUAUUGGGGUAAUAAAAAGAUUAAAUUAAUUCUUUUUGAUAUUUUACAUUGAUUAAUGAAUUUAUGAUCCAAUAUUUUUGAUUAUAAGAUUAAGUUACCUUAGGGAUAACAGCGUAAUUUUUUUUGAGAGUUCAUAUCGAUAAAAAAGUUUGCGACCUCGAUGUUGGAUUAAAAAUUGUUUUAGGCGCAGAAGUUUAAAAAUUUGGUCUGUUCGACCAUUAAAUUUUUACAUGAUCUGAGUUCAGACCGGUGUAAGCCAGGUCGGUUUCUAUCUUUAUAAUUUUAUAAUAUUUUAGUACGAAAGGACCAAAUAUUUAAUAUAUUAAUAUUUAUAUUUUGAAUAUUAUU
rnacentral:rRNA from 1 species